rnacentral:lncRNA from 1 species
UGCAUACAAAGACAAGAAGGUAAACAAUACAAAUUAAAGGUACACUGAGGUUCCAUUAGAUAAACUGCAACGGCAAAACAUUGUUUUGGUUAUAACAAUUUAUAAUACCUAAAUCCAGUUAAGAAAAUGUUAAUUAGCAAUCACAAUCAUGAGGCUAAAAUAGCAGGGGUUGCAUAGAAGAAUGACCACCACCUCAACAGCUUCUAUGUACUCCAACGGGGAGUUCCAUCAACAAUUAACCACCAGCAAGAUAUGAAACCUCAAAGAUAAAACAUAAAAUAAAUCCAUCGCCCCAAGAAAAAAUCACCCCAAUCAACACUGAGUAGCCCACAAAUAGAGAGAUGUGCAAGAUGCCAAAUUAGACGAAGUAGGGGUAGGAUUAGGGUUGAUUGCAUACCUGGUAACCGAGAGUUGUGGUUGCUU